UUAAAUUGAAGAGUUUGAUCAUGGCUCAGAUUGAACGCUGGCGGCAGGCCUAACACAUGCAAGUCGAGCGGAAACGACUUAACUGAACCUUCGGGGAACGUUAAGGGCGUCGAGCGGCGGACGGGUGAGUAAUGCCUGGGAAUAUGCCUUAGUGUGGGGGAUAACUAUUGGAAACGAUAGCUAAUACCGCAUAAUGUCUUCGGACCAAAGAGGGGGACCUUCGGGCCUCUCGCGCUAAGAUUAGCCCAGGUGAGAUUAGCUAGUUGGUGAGGUAAUGGCUCACCAAGGCGACGAUCCCUAGCUGGUCUGAGAGGAUGAUCAGCCACACUGGAACUGAGACACGGUCCAGACUCCUACGGGAGGCAGCAGUGGGGAAUAUUGCACAAUGGGCGAAAGCCUGAUGCAGCCAUGCCGCGUGUAUGAAGAAGGCCUUCGGGUUGUAAAGUACUUUCAGUUGUGAGGAAGGGGGUAGCGUUAAUAGCGCUAUCUCUUGACGUUAGCAACAGAAGAAGCACCGGCUAACUCCGUGCCAGCAGCCGCGGUAAUACGGAGGGUGCGAGCGUUAAUCGGAAUUACUGGGCGUAAAGCGCAUGCAGGUGGUUCAUUAAGUCAGAUGUGAAAGCCCGGGGCUCAACCUCGGAACUGCAUUUGAAACUGGUGAACUAGAGUACUGUAGAGGGGGGUAGAAUUUCAGGUGUAGCGGUGAAAUGCGUAGAGAUCUGAAGGAAUACCAGUGGCGAAGGCGGCCCCCUGGACAGAUACUGACACUCAGAUGCGAAAGCGUGGGGAGCAAACAGGAUUAGAUACCCUGGUAGUCCACGCCGUAAACGAUGUCUACUUGGAGGUUGUGGCCUUGAGCCGUGGCUUUCGGAGCUAACGCGUUAAGUAGACCGCCUGGGGAGUACGGUCGCAAGAUUAAAACUCAAAUGAAUUGACGGGGGCCCGCACAAGCGGUGGAGCAUGUGGUUUAAUUCGAUGCAACGCGAAGAACCUUACCUACUCUUGACAUCCAGAGAAUUCGCUAGAGAUAGCUUAGUGCCUUCGGGAACUCUGAGACAGGUGCUGCAUGGCUGUCGUCAGCUCGUGUUGUGAAAUGUUGGGUUAAGUCCCGCAACGAGCGCAACCCUUAUCCUUGUUUGCCAG
rnacentral:rRNA from 1 species